AGGUGUUGUUGGGUAGGGGAGCGUUCUGUAAGCCUGUGAAGGUGGCCUGUGAGGGUUGCUGGAGGUAUCAGAAGUGCGAAUGCUGACAUAAGUAACGAUAAAGCGGGUGAAAAGCCCGCUCGCCGGAAGACCAAGGGUUCCUGUCCAACGUUAAUCGGGGCAGGGUGAGUCGACCCCUAAGGCGAGGCCGAAAGGCGUAGUCGAUGGGAAACGGGUUAAUAUUCCCGUACUUGGUGUUACUGCGAAGGGGGGACGGAGAAGGCUAUGUUGGCCGGGCGACGGUUGUCCCGGUUUAAGCGUGUAGGUGUGUGUUCCAGGUAAAUCCGGUUCACUUUAACACUGAGGCGUGAUGACGAGGCACUACGGUGCUGAAGCAACAAAUGCCCUGCUUCCAGGAAAAGCCUCUAAGCAUCAGGUAACAUCAAAUCGUACCCCAAACCGACACAGGUGGUCAGGUAGAGAAUACCAAGGCGCUUGAGAGAACUCGGGUGAAGGAACUAGGCAAAAUGGUGCCGUAACUUCGGGAGAAGGCACGCUGACACGUAGGUGAAGUGAUUUACUCAUGGAGCUGAAGUCAGUCGAAGAUACCAGCUGGCUGCAACUGUUUAUUAAAAACACAGCACUGUGCAAACACGAAAGUGGACGUAUACGGUGUGACGCCUGCCCGGUGCCGGAAGGUUAAUUGAUGGGGUCAGCGCAAGCGAAGCUCCUGAUCGAAGCCCCGGUAAACGGCGGCCGUAACUAUAACGGUCCUAAGGUAGCGAAAUUCCUUGUCGGGUAAGUUCCGACCUGCACGAAUGGCGUAAUGAUGGCCAGGCUGUCUCCACCCGAGACUCAGUGAAAUUGAACUCGCUGUGAAGAUGCAGUGUACCCGCGGCAAGACGGAAAGACCCCGUGAACCUUUACUAUAGCUUGACACUGAACAUUGAGCCUUGAUGUGUAGGAUAGGUGGGAGGCUUUGAAGUGUGGACGCCAGUCUGCAUGGAGCCGACCUUGAAAUACCACCCUUUAAUGUUUGAUGUUCUAACGUGGACCCGUAAUCCGGGUUGCGGACAGUGUCUGGUGGGUAGUUUGACUGGGGCGGUCUCCUCCUAAAGAGUAACGGAGGAGCACGAAGGUUGGCUAAUCCUGGUCGGACAUCAGGAGGUUAGUGCAAUGGCAUAAGCCAGCUUGACUGCGAGCGUGACGGCGCGAGCAGGUGCGAAAGCAGGUCAUAGUGAUCCGGUGGUUCUGAAUGGAAGGGCCAUCGCUCAACGGAUAAAAGGUACUCCGGGGAUAACAGGCUGAUACCGCCCAAGAGUUCAUAUCGACGGCGGUGUUUGGCACCUCGAUGUCGGCUCAUCACAUCCUGGGGCUGAAGUAGGUCCCAAGGGUAUGGCUGUUCGCCAUUUAAAGUGGUACGCGAGCUGGGUUUAGAACGUCGUGAGACAGUUCGGUCCCUAUCUGCCGUGGGCGCUGGAGAACUGAGGGGGGCUGCUCCUAGUACGAGAGGACCGGAGUGGACGCAUCACUGGUGUUCGGGUUGUCAUGCCAAUGGCACUGCCCGGUAGCUAAAUGCGGAAGAGAUAAGUGCUGAAAGCAUCUAAGCACGAAACUUGCCCCGA
rnacentral:rRNA from 1 species